rnacentral:rRNA from 1 species
UUAAGCUAAUAAGAGCGUAUGGUGGAUGCCUUGGCAUCAGGCGCCGAAGAAGGACGUGACAAGCUGCGAAAAGCUGCGGGGAGCUGCAAAUGAGCCUAGAGCCGCAGAUAUCCGAAUGCGGGAACGCCCCUUAUAGAGAUAUAAGGGAUCGAUACAUGAAAAAGAUAGUGUAUCGAGGGGAACCCGGGGAACUGAAACAUCUAAGUACCCGGAGGAAGAGAAAGUAAAACAACGAUUACCUGAGUAGUGGCGAGCGAAAGGGUAAGAGCCUAAACCUCAUAUAGAAAUAUGUGAGGGGUUCGGACUCACGAGAAGUCAAAGCCGGAAGUAGACGAAGAGUAAUGGAAAAUACCGACAGAGAGCGUAAAAUCCGCGUAGUUGAAACGGAAGGCGAGGCGAGUGAAGAUCCAGAGUACCAUCGAGCACGAGAAAUUCGGUGGGAAUGAGGGAGGCCCAUCUCCUAAGGCUAAAUACGACCUGAUGACCGAUAGAGUAGAGUACCGUGAGGGAAAGGUGAAAAGCACCCCGGGAGGGGAGUGAAAGAGAACCUGAAACCAUAUGCUUACAAGCAGAGGGAGCGCAACGCUUUGAAAGGAGCAAGCGUGACCUCGUACUUUUUGUAGAACGGGCCGGCGAGUUACGAUGUGUUGCGAGGUUAAGGUAUAAAGUACCGGAGCCGAAGCGAAAGCGAGUCUGAAGUGGGCGAAAUGAGUAGCAUGUCGUAGACCCGAAACCGGAUGACCUAACCAUGAGCAGGAUGAAGCAGAAGUAAAAUUUUGUGGAGGUCCGAACCGACCCCUGUUGAAAUAGUGGCGGAUGACUUGUGGUUAGCGGAGAAAUUCCAAUCGAAUCCGGAUAUAGCUGGUUCUCCUCGAAAUAGCUUUAGGGCUAGCCUCAACGUAGAGAGUAUCGGGGGUAGAGCACUGAAUGGGCUAGGGGCCUUCACGGGUUACCGAACCUUAUCAAACUGCGAAUACCGAAUACUUAUAGUUGGGAGUCAGACGGCGUGAGAUAAGUUUCGUCGUCAAAAGGGAAACAGCCCAGACCUACAGCUAAGGUCCCGAAGUUAAGGUUAAGUGGUAAAGGAUGUGGCGUUGCACAGACAACCAGGAUGUUGGCUUAGAAGCAGCCAUACAUUCAAAGAGUGCGUAAUAGCUCACUGGUCGAGUGACGCUGCGCCGAAGAUUAUCGGGGCUAAAACCUUACACCGAAGCUUAGGAAUUAUAGUAAUAUAAUUGGUAGAGGAGCAAUGUAUGCGGGCAGAAGCCGUAUCGGAAGGGGCGGUGGACUGCAUACAAGAGAGAAUGCCGGCAUGAGUAGCGAGAGAGAAGUGAGAAACUUUUCCGUCGAAAGCCUAAGGUUUCCUGGGGAAGGUUCGUCCGCCCAGGGUAAGUCGGGACCUAAGUUGAGGCCGAAAGGCGUAGAUGAUGGACAACUGGUAGAUAUUCCAGUACCACCGCAAUAGUUCGAAGCAGGGACACAGAAGGAUAGUCGGACUCCGGGGAUGGAAAGCCGGGGCUAAAUCAUGAGGCAGGCACGUAGUGAAGUACGCGUGUCGUAAAGCUGGGUGAUGACAGGGAGCGAAAACUAGUAGCGAAGCCGAUGAAUUCACGCUGGCGAGAAAAGCUGCUAAGGUAGAUAUUGAGGUGCCCGUACCGCAAACCGACACAGGUAGGCGGCAAGAGAAUUGCAAGACGAACGGGAUAACCAUUGGUUAAGGAACUCGGCAAAAUGACCCCGUAACUUAGGGAGAAGGGGAGCCUAGCGAUAGGUCGCAGUGAAAAGGCCCAAGCGACUGUUUAUCUAAAACACAGGUCUCUGCGAAAGCGCAAGCUGAAGUAUAGGGGCUGACGCCUGCCCGGUGCUGGAAGGUCAAGGGGAAGAGUUAGGAGAAAAUCCGAAGCUUAGAACUUAAGCCCCAGUGAACGGCGGCCGUAACUAUAACGGUCCUAAGGUAGCGAAAUUCCUUGUCAGGUAAGUUCUGACCCGCACGAA